GACGUAGGGUGCGAGCGUUGUCCGGAUUUAUUGGGCGUAAAGAGCUCGUAGGCGGCUCGUCGCGUCUGCCGUGAAAACCCGCAGCUCAACUGCGGGCUUGCGGUUGAUACGGGCGGGCUGGAGUUCGGUAGGGGAGACUGGAAUUCCUGGUGUAGCGGUGAAAUGCGUAGAUAUCAGGAGGAAUACCGGUGGCGAAAGCGACUCUCUGGACGGCAACUGACGCUGAGGCACGAAAGCGUGGGGAGCAAACAGG
rnacentral:rRNA from 1 species